UGGCAAUGAUUACAAUUUAUCCGCGCUUCUGAGAAUAUUCUAUGAAGCAUAAAGGAUAAAAAUUGGUUGAAUUUCUUGAUAUGAGCCA